rnacentral:rRNA from 1 species
GUGAGGAAUCUUCCACAAUGGGCGAAAGCCUGAUGGAGCAACGCCGCGUGAAGGAUGAAGGUCUUCGGAUUGUAAACUUCUUUUAUGAGUGAAGAAUAUGACGGUAACUCAUGAAUAAGCACCGGCUAACUACGUGCCAGCAGCCGCGGUCAUACGUAGGGUGCAAGCAUUAUCCGGAGUGACUGGGCGUAAAGAGUUGCGUAGGCGGUUAUGUAAGCGAAUAGUGAAACCUGGUGGCUCAACCACACAGACUAUUAUUCGAACUGCAUAACUCGAGAAUGGUAGAGGUAACUGGAAUUUCUUGUGUAGGAGUGAAAUCCGUAGAUAUAAGAAGGAACACCUAUGGCGUAGGCAGGUUACUGGGCCAUUUCUGACGCUAAGGCACGAAAGCGUGGGGAGCGAACCGGAUUAGAUACCCUUGUAGUCC